rnacentral:rRNA from 1 species
UUUCCUACGGGAGGCAGCAGUAGGGAAUUUUCGUCAAUGGGCGCAAGCCUGAACGAGCAAUGCCGCGUGAACGAGGAAGGUCUUCGGAUCGUAAAGUUCUGUUGAAGGGGAAAAAGAGCGGAGAGAGGAAAUGGUCUCCGAUUGAUAUUACCCUUCGAGGAAGUCACGGCUAACUACGUGCCAGCAGCCGCGGUAAUACGUAGGUGGCAAGCGUUGUCCGGAAUUACUGGGUGUAAAGGGAGCGCAGGCGGGAAGCCAAGUCA